AUGGCGGCGGCGGCGUCCGGCGCGUCCGCGGGGGCGGGGGCCAAGCCGGGGCGGCUGAACGUGCCGGCGGGGAUGGCGGGGUCGCUCCGCCUGGACGCCUCCUCCCCGGCCUCGUCCUCCUCCUCCGUGGCGCGCCUGCUCGAGAUCCCCAAGACGCCGUCGCCGUCCAAGGUCACCUACAGCGACCGCUUCAUCCCCUGCCGGACCUCGUCGCGCCUCCACAACUUCGCGCUCGCCGACCGCCCCUCCCCCGGCUCCGGCUCCAGGGACGACGGCAGCGCCUACUCGCGCCUCCUCCGCGCCGAGCUCUUCGGGGGCGACGCCUCCCCCGGCGGCGACAGGCAGGACUCCCCCGGCUCCAACAACCUCUUCCGCUUCAAGACGGACCGCUCCUCCGCGCCCUCCUCCCCCUUCGCCGAGAAGCUGGACUGCGCCGGCGGCGCCGGCUCCCCCACCCCCAAGAAGGCGCCCCGCAAGGUCCCCAAGACACCCCACAAGGUGCUGGACGCGCCGUCCCUGCAGGACGACUUCUACCUGAACCUCGUCGACUGGUCCUCCCAGAACAUGCUCGCCGUCGGCCUCGGCACCUGCGUCUACCUCUGGUCCGCAUCCAGCAGCAAGGUCACCAAGCUGUGCGAUCUGGGGCCGAGGGACAGCGUCUGCGCCGUGCACUGGACGCGCGAGGGCUCCUACCUCGCCGUCGGCACCAGCCUUGGAGACGUCCAGAUUUGGGAUAGCUCUCGCUGUAAGCGGAUUAGGAACAUGGGAGGACACCAGACCCGGGCGGGGGUGCUAGCUUGGAACUCAACCAUCUUGUCCUCCGGCAGCAGGGACAAGAACAUAUUGCAGCAUGACAUCCGUGUCCCCACUGACUACAUCAGCAAAUUUUCUGGCCACAGAUCAGAGGUCUGUGGGCUGAAAUGGUCGCAUGACGACCGCGAGCUUGCGUCUGGUGGAAAUGACAACCAGCUUCUAGUAUGGAACCAGCGGUCGCAGCAGCCGGUGCUGCGACUGACAGAACAUACCGCCGCGGUUAAAGCGAUAACAUGGUCACCCCACCAGCACAGCCUGGUGGCAUCAGGAGGCGGGACGGCUGAUAGGUGUAUCAAGUUCUGGAACACUGCUAAUGGAAAUAUGCUCAACUCAAUUGACACAGGCAGCCAGGUUUGUAACCUUGCCUGGUGCAAGAAUGUCAAUGAGCUUGUGAGUACCCAUGGGUACUCCCAGAACCAAAUAAUGGUGUGGAAGUAUCCAUCUAUGUCAAAGGUUGUGACUCUUACCGGACACACGCUGCGUGUGCUUUACCUCGCAACGUCCCCCGAUGGACAGACAAUAGUAACAGGAGCUGGCGACGAAACUCUUAGGUUCUGGAACAUUUUCCCUUCAAUGAAAGCGCAGGCUCCCGCUCGUGAUGCUGGGCUCUUUUCUUUUUCGAGAAGCCACAUCCGGUGA
rnacentral:rRNA from 1 species